rnacentral:tRNA from 1 species
GUCUGGGGUAGCCUAGUGGACAUGGCAUCUGCCCGGUAAGCGGAACAGUGUGGGUUCUAUUCCCAUUCCCUGGACA